UACGUAGGGUGCGAGCGUUGCCCGGAUUUAUUGGGCGUAAAGGGCGCGUAGGCGGCCACGCACGUCCGUUGUGAAAUCGCCCGGCUCAACUGGGCGGGGUCAGCGGAUACGGUGUGGCUAGAGCAAGCUAGGGGGCAAUGGAAUUCCCGGUGUAGUGGUGGAAUGCGUAGAUAUCGGGAGGAACACCAGUGGCGAAGGCGGUUGCCUGGAGCUUUGCUGACGCUGAUGCGCGAAAGCGUGGGGAGCCGAGUCCGG
rnacentral:rRNA from 1 species